UAAGGAAUAUUGGUCAAUGGAGGCAACUCUGAACCAGCCAUGCCGCGUGCAGGAAGACGGCCCUCUGGGUUGUAAACUGCUUUUAUUCGGGAAUAAACCUACUUACGUGUAAGUAGCUGAAUGUACCGAAGGAAUAAGGAUCGGCUAACUCCGUGCCAGCAGCCGCGGUAAUACGGAGGAUCCAAGCGUUAUCCGGAUUUAUUGGGUUGAAAGGGUGCGUAGGCGGCUUAUUAAGUCAGGGGUGAAAGACGGUGGCUCAACCAUCGCAGUGCCCUUGAUACUGAUGAGCUUGAAUGAGCUAGGGGUAAGCGGAAUGUGACAAGUGGCGGUGAAAUGCAUAGAUAUGUCACAGAACACCGAUUGCGAAGGCAGCUUACUAUGGUUUUAUUGACGCUGAGGCACGAAGGCGUGGGGAUCAAACA
rnacentral:rRNA from 1 species